rnacentral:tmRNA from 1 species
GGGGGUGCACCGGUUUCGACUGGGACGAAGGUGUGUCGAGUUGCAGGUGGAGCGCCGUACUCCUAAAACGGCAAAAAAAUAUAACUGCCAACGAAGCAGAUUAUCAAUUGGCCGCAGCGUAAGCUGUAGCCACGGGUUCCAGAUACGCAGCCUUGAGGAUCUGUGAACUUGUAAGAAACCAGGGCUCUUCAAACCCUGGGUCCGGCCUGGGGGAGAGAAACAAAACCGGACUGGGAUAAAAGUAAGCGUCUGGUUCGCUUGCCUUCAUCCGAAACUUUUAGAACCAGAUAAACCUGUAGAAGACUCGAUGUAUCCGUCGCAGGACGCGGGUUCAAUUCCCGCCACCUCCAUUC